AAAUUUACAAACGAAAAUAAUUUCUGGUGGAGUGCCAGGAUACUGGGUUUUACAGGACGGAGGGAAGAGAAGUAAUGAAAGAGGCAGUCUGUUAGCCCAAAGAGCAUGCCCAUCACCACAGCGAUGCACUUCCGGUCAACAGGCGAUGCACUUCCGUUGCUUACGGAAGAGUUGACUGAAACAGCUGUUUGAGGCAGGGAGGGCAACUCUCCACUCACCGGUCCCCCUCCUCCGUCAUUUUUAAAAUUUGUGAUCUAUGAGUAUAUAACAUAAAUUUUCCACACUAAGCACUUUUAAGCCUAGAAGGUUUAAUUAUAAAUAAUACAAAAUAGAAAUGAAAUAUUCUAUGAAAUAUAGAAGAGACAAAUUCAUGGAGACAGAAACCAUCACAUUUCACUAUUCAACACUGUGAAUGACCGAGUUUUCCACAAGAGCUUGGUGGAAAGUAGAGGAUAUGGAUACAGCCGAGGUCUUGUCACUCAGGCACUAGAAAACAUAAUGGAAAAUAAGAAGGCCGGAACCUGUCUGAUGUUCUGAAUUCCAUUAAAAUUAAAUAAACUAUUAAAAUGAAAACCUUUGGUUUUUUUUUUUUUUUUUAAU
rnacentral:lncRNA from 1 species